rnacentral:rRNA from 2 species
CCCAGGCAGGCGUGCCCUCGGCCAAGAGGCCUCGGGCGCAACUUGCGUUCAAAGACUCGAUGGUUCGCGGGAUUCUGCAAUUCACACCAGGUAUCGCAUUUCGCUACGUUCUUCAUCGAUGCGAGAGCCGAGAUAUCCGUUGCCGAGAGUCGUGUGGAUUAUAUAGCAUUGCAACUCGAGGUGCGGUCAGCAAGCCAACCGCGUCCCCGGGUUAGGCACAGUGUUCCUUGACGCCUUCGGCGCCGUGGGUUCUUUUACCCCGAGCCC